UAAGUCUCGUUUACUUUCACUUUCGAUUUACCACUUCCGGGUACAUCGGCAGACUUAUUUACCGUUACGCAUAUAGGUAACCCGAAGAACUCGAGAGAUAUAGAAGUUAAAUUUGUUUCGGUCCUCUUCAGAUUUGAAGGAAUGGAAAGCACGGGUCAAAAAAUGCAGAUGUGUAGACAGGGAGGUAUAUGACAAGUAUAGAAUAUACAGUUGUUCACUAUGGACCAUUAAUCAACUGUUUGCACUGCCUAUGAUCCUGAAAUAUCUAUACAUCAAAGAUAAAAAGGAAAAAGAUGAAGGAGAAUUUGUCCAUGAAGACCUUUAUUGCAACUACCAUUUUCCAGUUCCUUAAUUUGAGAAUGAUAUCAGAGAACACACAGUUACAGUGAAAUAUUAGUUUAAUAUAAGCCACAAAAUAUUCUUAUUCUUGUAUCAGUAGACAUUCACAGUGUAAAGUUACACUGUCUAAAUAACUAAUAAUAAUUUCCAGUGCUUUCCUGAAGUUUUUCUUCCACUGGAAUAUCAGUGUGAUAUAUAUGCUAAGCAGUGCACUAUAAAUUGUGUAAAAAUAAAAGUUU